rnacentral:tRNA from 1 species
AGGGAAAUAGUCCAGUGGUAGAGCGCAUGCUAAGCAUGCAUGAGGUCCUGGGUUCAAUCCCCAGUACCUUA